rnacentral:rRNA from 1 species
GAAGAGGAUCUACAGCCAUGAACAGGCCCGAUCCCGUCUGAUCUUGGAAACUAAGCAGGGUCGGGCUUGGCUAGUACUUGGAUGGGAGACCACUUACGAAGACCAGGUGCUGUAGGCA